CUUUGACCGACAGGAGAGGCCUGGGCUGGAAAGAGCUUGUGUGUGUCUUAAAGCAGAAAUACCUUACUAUGUUUCAGCAUUUUAGUGGAGAGCCCUGCUGUUAUUUCUGGAAUCCCCGGGGCUGGGUCCCCGGGGCUGGGCUGUAGAUGGAUGAGUGUUUAUGGCCGUGUGGGCUGGGGUGGAGCCGAACACCAAGAAAUCCCAGUGGAAAGAAUUUGUAUGUGGAAGGGCAGAUAAAAUGCUUUCUGUAUGACCGGUGAAUUUCAAGCUUACUGAAAGGAGAGACAGCCCAGGCAAGAGAAGGCAGUGGACGUGCACGGGGGUUGGAGACCCUUGAGCAGGACUGUCAGGGGACUAAGCUUCUGUGGCCAGAGGGACCGUAGGGGCAAGAACACUGAUUCUUUGUCAGAAAGUCUGAGCUGUACUGCCAUCUCCUCAGGUGACCUUGGGCAAGUUUUUGCUGCACUCGGUAACUCAGUCUCUAAAAUUUCUGCUUUCAUUCAAUCAUCAAAUAUUUAUUGAGUACUAGCUCAUACAGGUACAGUCAUCUGCAAUCACGGGCGAAAACUGCUAGGAAACCAUGAAAAGGUUUCAUACACUACGAAAAGUGAGAAGAAGCUGCUGGAGCAGGAGGGAGCACGCGGAACUCGAAGCCAGACGCUCAGAAAUCCCAGCUCUGCCAUUGAUUUGCAGUUUGACCUUGAAUACCAUGGUCCUCCCGGAAGCUCCGUUUCCCAACCCUUGAAAAAAACCCCUAUUCCAGAGGGGCUGUGGAGCUCUCCCCCAGGAAACGCUGGGCAGGUAGCAAGUGUUCAGGGAAUUGUAGGGUUUCCCCCUGUCUUUCUCUCCGCCUGGGGGUAGGAUGCAGGGAAAGGAGGGAGACGUCCAUCCUGUUGCAAGGAGCCUGAUGAAACGUGAGCGAAGGCUUAUCUCCUGAAUCACUGCUGUAAUUAAUAGAAUUAAAGCUCUGCAGACCAGCUCCGUUCCACACACAAUUCAGAAUGAAUGAGUCCUCCUGGUUGAGUUUACUCUCAUAAAUUGUUUCAGAGGUUUAUUUGCCCAGAGCAGUGGGUCAUCCAGAGGAACUUCCUGUCCUGCCAUGUGGCAGAUAUUUCACUGACACACAGACAUUUGAAUGGGACUUUUGCGC
rnacentral:lncRNA from 1 species